rnacentral:rRNA from 1 species
UUGGGAGCUCUCCCAUAUGGUCGACCUGCAGGCGGCCGCGAAUUCACUAGUGAUUGUAUUACCGCGGCUGCUGGCACGGAGUUAGCCGGAGCUUAUUCUCCCGGUACUGUCAUUAUCAUCCCGGGUAAAAGAGCUUUACGACCCUAAGGCCUUCAUCACUCACGCGGCAUUGCUGGAUCAGGCCGCGCCCAUUGUCCAAUAUUCCCCACUGCUGCCUCCCGUAGGAGUCUGGGCCGUGUCUCAGUCCCAGUGUGGCUGAUCAUCCUCUCAGACCAGCUAAGGAUCGUCGGCUUGGUAGGCCUUUACCCCACCAACUACCUAAUCCUACGCGGGCUCAUCCCUGGCCGACAAAUCUUUGGUCCGAAGACAUCAUCCGGUAUUAGCAGUCAUUUCUAACUGUUAUUCCGAAGCCAAGGGCAGAUUCCCACGCGUUACGCACCCGUGCGCCACUAACCCCGAAGGGUUCGUUCGACUUGCAUGUGUUAGGCAUGCCGCCAACGUUCGUUCUGAGCCAUGAUCAAACUCUAAUCGAAUUCCCGCGGCCGCCAUGGCGGCCGGGAGCAUGCGAC